ACUCCUACGGGAGGCAGCAGUGGGGAAUAUUGCACAAUGGGCGGAAGCCUGAUGCAGCGACGCCGCGUGGGGGAUGACGGCCUUCGGGUUGUAAACCUCUUUCAGUGCAGAACAAGGCUCUUUGUGGGUUGAGGGUAUGCGCAGAAGAAGCGCCGGCUAACUACGUGCCAGCAGCCGCGGUAAUACGUAGGGCGCGAGCGUUGUCCGGAUUUAUUGGGCGUAAAGAGCUCGUAGGCGGUUUGUCGCGUCUGCUGUGAAAUCCUCUGGCUUAACUGGGGGCGUGCAGUGGGUACGGGCAGACUGGAGUGCGGUAGGGGAGACUGGAAUUCCUGGUGUAGCGGUGGAAUGCGCAGAUAUCAGGAGGAACACCGGUGGCGAAGGCGGGUCUCUGGGCCGUUACUGACGCUGAGGAGCGAAAGCAUGGGGAGCGAACAGGAUUAGAUACCCUGGUAGUC
rnacentral:rRNA from 1 species